CUGUGUUGUCCCACAAGAGGCUGGAAUCUCAAGUCUCUCUAAGUCUUCCGCCUGUCUUUGCUUUCCAACCCCACCGAUCCUCCAGAGCGCAGCACGUGUAUGAACACCAACCAGCCGAGAAAACUGGAAUGAAGAGGAGAAGCUGUGAUGCAGGAACAUCUAGUGUAAAACUGAGAGCGGCCGGAUGUGGAUCCCUGUGUUGUCCCACAAGUGGCUGGAACCUCAAGUCUCUCGAAGUUUUCCGCCUCUCUUUGCUUUCCAACCCCACCGAUCCUCCAGUACACACCACAUGUA